rnacentral:rRNA from 1 species
CGAAGGAAAGGUGAAAAGGACUUUGAAGAGAGAGUCAAAUAGAACUUGAAAUCGUCA